UACGAAGGGAGCUAGCGUUGUUCGGAAUCACUGGGCGUAAAGCGCACGUAGGCGGAUAUGUCAGUCAGGGGUGAAAUCCCGGAGCUCAACUUCGGAACUGCCUUUGAUACAGCACGUCUUGAGUCCGAUAGAGGUGGGUGGAAUUCCUAGUGUAGAGGUGAAAUUCGUAGAUAUUAGGAAGAACACCGGUGGCGAAGGCGGCCAUCUGGACCGGUUCUGACGCUGAGGCGCGAAAGCGUGGGGAGCAAACAGG
rnacentral:rRNA from 1 species